GUAGCAGAACUCCAUGUUCUAAUAGCCCCGGCAAAGUUGUUUUUAAUACUUUUUCUCUACGAAUUUUCAUUAAAAUUUAAUUCCAUUUUAACUUUGUCAAUUUUCCCCAAAGAUAAAUUAAGACACACAGAGAGAUUGUCAUUUCCUGUUUGAAGUCUCAUUCCUGUGUACAAUGUCAGUCUUUUUUAUUUAGGCCUAUGCCAUUCCAUCAGGGUAAAUAACUUUCUAACUAGUCAUUUAAGAGCAACUCCCGGGAAACUGUGAUGCAAUCCCACAUAUCAGCCAGACUUCAAAAGCUGCCAGAUUAUUGUGAAAGGAGAAACACUGUUUUCGAAGGCUGCUGAUAAUGCCUAUUAGCCAGAAGAAAGAGCCUGAAUCAUUCAAAGGUUUUCCAUCUAGUAAAGAAGUGUGGUAAAAAUCUUGCCCAGAUCUGCAUGUGCUAAGCAUCUACGUAAGUUGGAGCAUCAUAUUAAUGACACCCAGUGAAGAAACGAAAGAAUGAAGUGUAAUUACUAUAUCAAAAAUCCACAGAAUGUGAAAGUAUAAAGGAAAACUCUCAGUAAGAUCAAGUAAGUCAUUCCAAACUGUCUGGCGUCCUGUCCCAAAACAUCUCUGAACUUCUCAGUUCAAGAAGUAAGUUCCAGAAUUUAUUUGGCAAAGGUAGCUUAUGUUCACAGUACUGUCUCUGGUUUUCCAGUCUGUCUCCUAGUCAUAGGCCCCUAAAGUCCACCAGCCCUUACACUUCCGGCUGCAUGCUUGCAAAAUCUACUAUGUAGUUCUGAUUUUGUAAUUUUCAUUUCAAUGAGCAUGAAAACUUUUAAUACUGAACGUCCAGAAAAGAUCUUGUUUUCUUUUAUUCCCUUUCCUUUAGGUCAUUUUCUUGUAGUUUUCUUCUUUCAUUCAAUUUUGAUAAGACUUCUUUCUUUGAAAAUGACAUUUAAAAAUAAGGUUAACACACAAGUUAUUACUUUAAUAAAGCACAUAACGUAUACCUUAUAAAAUAUUUUGAAUGCUUUAGAAACUUGUCUUUGCUGCACACAGGCAGAAUGGAGUAAUAUUUUAAGAUUUCCUGCAACUAGAAAGGUAUGGAAAGUCUUACUGAUUUAUAUUGUGUUCUGACUUCCUGAGGCAGUUUUCCUAAUGCUAUUCCAUUUUAGUCAUACCAUGAAACAGAGCUUGCUCAUUUAUUGUGUUUUUUUUUUUUUAAUCAGAAUUCAGUGUAGAACUUUGUAUUUCAGUUUUGUUUGUUGUUUCUUUAGCUUAAUUUCUAUGGAAUUUUAUAGUAAUAGCAGUUUUAUUUUAUAAAAGUUCUCUUGCUGGGAGGAUAAUUCUGUAAGCAUUUGAGAAAAGGAAUUCCCAGUUCAAUUUUCAAAAUUAUUUUCAAAAAUAAAUAACCUGACUAUUUAACAUAUAUAGUGUUCCAGACUUGCAUUUAUUGCCUGUACUAUGUAAUUAAAGAUUUUAUUAUCUAUAGUUACUUGGGAAGACACAUCUUUUACAUCAGUGUUUGUUUCUCAGGACAGGAAACAUUUAUUACGGUUCUUUUGUAUUCCUAAAGUACCAUAGUUCUUUUUUUUUUUUUUUUUUGGGGGGGAGAGAGUCUUGCUCUGUCACCCAGGCUGGAGUGCAGUGGCACGUUCUUGGCUUACUGCAGCCUCCACCUCCUGGGUUCAAGUGAUUCUCCUGCCUCUGCCUCCUGAGUAGCAGGGACGACAGGCAUGUGACACCACACCCGGCUAAUUUUUGUAUUUUGGUAGAGAUGGGUUUUCACCAUGUUGGCCAGGCUGGUCCUGAACUCCUGACCUCAGGUGAUCUGCCUGCCUUGGCCUCCCAAAGUGCUGGGAUUACAGGCGUGAGCCACCACGUCCAGCCUUAAAGCUCAUACCAUAGUUCUAGACAAAUAAUAUGUAGAUGCUCACUUGAUAAAAGGGUGUUUAUGUUGUAUUCUUUCCAUUUAAUUCUUGUAAUUUGAGUCUUACUUGCCUUCCUUAACCAUACACCAUAGAAACAUUAUAGAAUUUCUUUUAUUUUUUUUUCCAUCAACUUUUAUUUUAUGUCCCAGGGUACAUAUGCAGGAUAUGCAGGUUUGUUACAUAGGUAAAUGUGUGUCAUGUUUGUUGGCUGCACAGAUCAACCCAUCCCCUAGGUAUUAAGUCUGUCACCCAUUAGCUAUUCUUCCCUGAUGCUCUCCCCCAACCUUUACCCCAACACAGGCCCCUGCGUGUAUUGUUCCCCCGCACCAUAUAUCCAUGUGUUCCCAUCCUUCAGCUCCCACUUAUAAGUGAGAACAUGCGAUGUUUGGUUUUCUGUUCCUGCAUUAGUUUGCUGAGAAUAACAGCUUCCAGCUCCAUCCAUGUCCCUGCAAACAACAUGAUCUUGUUGCUUUUUAUGGCUGCAUAGUAUUAUGGACUUUUUUAUGAUGUAGCUUAGUCUUAAUAACAUUACUGGUUAUUUGUGCAUAAGAUCUUUCUGAUUUAAAUCUUUCCCCUAAAUAUUAAAACAGAAAUGGGAAAAUUUAAUCUUUCUGAAAAGAUCUCCUCUUUUUGUCAUGUGGUUUUUAAUGGCUUUUUAUUAAUACAGUCUCGAGCAGGGGUCUCCAACCCCCAGGCCACAGAUGGGUACCAGUCAGUGCCUGUUAGGAACCAUGCAGCACAGUGGGAGGUGAGUGGUGGGAGAGACAGCAUUAUUGCCUGAGCUCUGCCUCCUGUCAGAUCAGGGGCGACAUUAGAUUUUCAUAGCAGCAGGAACUCUAUUGUGAACUGCGCAUGCGAGAGAUCUAGUUUGUGCUCUCCUUAUGAGAAUCUAAUGCCUGAUCAUCUGAGGUGGAACGGUUUCAUCCUGAAACCAUUCCCCCAACCCACUCUGUGGAAAAAUUGUCUUCUACAAAACCAGUCCCUGGUGCCAAAAAGGUUGGGCAUUGCCAUUAUAUAUAAUAGCUGAAGCGUAUAUACCAGGACAUUUUUUUAAGUUCAAAAUAUAAUUAGAGGCAUCUCAUUAAGAUUUGUUUGUUUGUUUGUGACGGAGUCUCCCUCUGUCGCCAGGCUGGAAUGCAGUGGUGCGAUCUCAGCUCACUGCAACCUCCGCUUCUCGGGUUCAAGUGAUUCUCCUGCUUCAGCCUCCCGAGUGGCUGGGACUACAGGCAUGUGCCACCAUGCCCAGCUAAUUUUUUGUAGUUUUAGUACAGAUGGGGUUUCACCACGUUGGCCAGGAUGGCCUCGAUCUCCUGACCUCGUGAUCCUCCUGCCUCGGCCUCCCAAAGUGCUGGGAUUACAGGCGUGAGCCACCACUCCUGGCCUAAGGUUUUUUUUUUUGGAUUUUUUUUUUUUUAGAUGGCCUCACUCUGUUCCCCUAGGCUGGAGUGCCAUGGAAAGAUCCUAAUCUUUUCAAGGCUCACUGCAGCCUUGACCUCUUGGGGUCAAGUGAUCCUCCCUGAGUAGCUAGGACCACAGGUGCAUCACCUGUCUCAGCCUCCUGAGUAGCUCCUCAGCCUCCUGAGUAGCUAGGACCACAGGUGCAUCACCACACCCAGCUAAUGUUUUUUAUUAUUUUGGUACAGACAGGCUCUCCCUAUGUUGCCCAGGCCGGCCUCAAACUCCUGGACUCUAGUGAUCCUCCUGCCAAGUGCUUUGGGAGCACUUGGCCUCCAAAGUGCUGGUAUUAUAUGUAUGAAUCACUGUGCCCAGCCCUCAUUAAGAUUUAAGAGAAGACUUUUACUCCCUGCAUGCAAUGGCUUAUACUCACAAAUCUCAGCAAAUAUCAGUUCUUCAAAUGACAUGACACUGACAAGAAAUGGAAAGAACCGUUAAGAAUAAUAAAAAAGAGAAAGCUAACUUACAGUGACAUAGAAAGAAAUGAGACAUUUCCAGAGAAGUAGUCAGUUCUUGUGAUUAUUAAUUUUCUUCCUUCUAAACUGACUAAUAAAUAGCAUUUUCAGUUACUUGCACCUUUGAAGCUUUCUGUAGCAGCAUUGUUUCCAUCACUGUGACAUAAGUCUCCUGAGUACAACUCUUAAAAUUAACCCUUUUGAGGUUGCCAGUGGUUUCAGUUUCUUUAUAUUCUUCUGCCUGUCACGCAGAAAAGUAAAUCAUUUUCUCUAAAUUUGUCAUCUUUUCUACUCUGUUAUAGACCCGUCUUCAUAUUUUAAUUUCCCUUAACUUUUGCAGUCUGAACAAAUGAAGAAAUCACAUUUGUAUCUUAUUUUAAGUCCUCAUCAAAAAUUCAAUUCCUUUUGGAGUUUUUCAAAAGCUUUCAAUAGUGGAGGAGUUAUAAGGAGAAGCGAGGUCAGAUGGUUGACAGGAAGUGGGUAAAGUGUUUCAUUGAGGAAGAGUGUGGGGUUAAAGAACACACAAUAAAAGGAGACAAAGGAAGAAGUAGGGCCCCGUGGAAACAAGAGUCAUAAAGACAUAGAAGUGGAGUGCCAAAUGUCUAUAUUUCUUCACAAAGAUGACAAGAUUUGAAAAUACACGUCAGUGACAGUGGCUGGCAAUCAACUACCACGAUAGACCAUAAUGAAAGCCGGGUGGACAAGUAUUCAUUUCUUUGAAAUGAAUACUUUGAAAUGAAUAACUUUGAAAGGCUCAGAUAAGGUCUCUGGUGUAAAGGAAAAUACUCUACAAAAAUUGAUGCUUAAAUGUACAUGGGAGGAGCUUCUGACAAUGUUCUAUUUCUUGACUUUGUUAAUGAUCAAUUAUGCAUUUUGGGAUGAUUCAUUGAGUAAUACACUAAUUUGGGGCACUUUUCUGUGUGAGUGUUAUAUUUCAAUUAAAAAUGAAAGAGUAGCAAAUAAUAAAUAUUUG
rnacentral:lncRNA from 10 species